rnacentral:ribozyme from 1 species
ACAAGAAAAGAGGGGAAGCAUCAAGGGAGAGAAAGAAGACCGUCAGUGCCUUCCUUGCAUUCCUCUUCUCACUUUUUCGUUUUCUGAUUUUCUUUCUACAUCUCUUUCGUGAAUUGCUCCUCCGUCUUCUCCCCUUUUCUUUCCGCAUAAGCAGGUUUUAGGAAAGAAGGAAGAGA